UUUUUAACUCCGCCAAUGCAUAUGCAUUGCCGGUCUCAAGCCCGGGUAAAGGAGGAGGGAGAA
rnacentral:ribozyme from 1 species